GUCUGGCUUCGUUCGACGCGCGAGCGCGCACAUGGGCCAAAGCCCAACGAAAUCCUCGCUUGGUCCCCGAGGGAACCCAAACCUAUCUCCCCUAUCUCCGUCGCGCCCUGGAUCCUCACCACCACCGCAUCACCGCCGCCGCCGCCGCUCCUGCCAGGAAUGGAGCCGGACGGGGACGCCGCGAUGGCAGGCCACUGUUCCUCUAACAUUCCUUCCUCAUCCAUUCUCCCCUCGCGAUCCCGGUCGUGCCCAUCUCUUCUUCUGCUAAGCACCAUCAUCCAAGGCCACAGGUUGUUCCCCACUUCGUCAUCGUCGCUCUGCCGGAGACGGCUCUGCCCGCGACGGACGGCUCCAGAUAAAAAUAGGAUGAGGAGUAGUGCCGCAUGUCCAAGAGAAAGAUGCCCCACGCCUCCGCCGUCCGCCACUGCCUCGCACAGGACUCCAGGCCAUCCUGCCAAAUCCUUCUUCAAUACACUCAGGUGCGAGGCCACAUGCAUGAUUCGAUCUCGGUCAGCAAUGGCCAUCAACUCGAAUGCGGGCAGCAAUGCUGGAGGUGGAGGACUAAGUGCAGGUCAGAAAUAGAGGACACAUGAAUGGAGUGAGAAUGGAAACAUUUGCAAACUAGCAAUCUAGGUGGAGAAGAGAAGGCUGCGAUGUUGUAAUUGACAAACUUUCUUGGCAAACAACUAUGUCACGGCACUUCAAACUCUUCCGGUGUGGAUGAUGAUGAAGAAGAAGAAGGCCUUCCUUCUCCCGCUUUCGGAUGAAGGACCAUUUUCUUUGCACCUGAGAAUCUGAGAUUACUGCCAUUCAUCUCUCUGAGUUCAUUGACUAAAUGGAUGAAGAGGGAAGUCAGUACAACUGCUUUAAUUGCUCCGUUGAUAGAUGCAAGCCAUAACUAUGAUGCAUGCCUUGGAAAGAAGAUGCAAAAUAAUGGUAGGAGGCCCAGGUAAAACCAGAACUUGCUAUGUUGAAAGAGAUAAAUUCAUGAGGCGAUAAUUGACAAGGCAAGAGCCAUCAACAAGGCAAACAAAACAACAAAAUCCAAGUUCAAAUUUAACCGUAGUGUUCCUUAUUCUGCCAUCCCAAUACGUUUCGUAGUUUCGUCGUCCGUCGUCCUUCGUCCCGCUCGCUCCUUUGUUGGCCACCGCACUCCGCAAAUCAAGCCCACCCGGUACUUCAAGGACCCACCUGAUUGGAUCGAUCCAAGUAGCCACUCCAUCCUUUUUUCCUCCCGCACAUCAGCCCUACUUCGACGAGGACAGGGCACAUCUCGGCCGCACCUCGCCAUGGUUCCCAUCACCCCCAGCUCGACGGGAGAGCCCUAAUGGAGGUUACCAUUGACACGUCCUUUCUUCCACCACCGCAUCCCUCCCUCCCACUUCCCACACCACGCGGUUCAUAUACCCUAGAAACCAGGAGAUCUCGCGGAUCUAGAACCCCAAUGUCGCCCAUGUUCUACACCCCCGUGAUUUCGAGCAGGAGGUGCACACCACGGGGCUCGCGGUGGAGGCGAGGUUCAUGAUUUCGAGGUGCACUCCGGGGAAUCAGAUUUUAGAGUUCGUUGCCCAUGUGGAGGAGUUUCACAACGAUGAGGUCAUCAAAUCAAGCCACCCACCUUCGCGGUUGUGGCCGCUGCUGCAUCGUUCCAAGUUCGGUCUCCUACCUCAUCAGAGCCCCCGAUAAAACGCCCAAGUCAUUCUUGAUUGCAGAGUUGCAGUGAUGUUCAGUGAAAGAUUUUAUGGUUCUUGGCUACCGUUCAUUCUCCUAGAGUUGCAGUGAUGUUCAGUGAAAGAUUUUAUUGUUCUUGGCUACCGUUCAAGCAAUUGUAAAAAUCACACAGGAAUUUUAGAUACCGAUAUGUGGUCUAGGUAGGAAUACAUUGCAGAUCGCAAGGGUGCUAACUGAUUUUUCACUGCCUCGAUUUGAUCCCUUAGUCCAGAUCUGGAUUCCCAUCGUUAAGUAGCAACAUGUUUGUUAUUUCCUUUUGCUAUAUAGUGUUAUAAUCUCAAUUUUCUUGAAUUGUUACGACUGAAAAUGAUAGCUGCAAGGUAUUUCUCUUAGUUUACACUGUGUUUUUACCACUGUUAAUGGAAUCCUGUGAUCCCAGUUAAUUAAAGUCCAAUAGUUGAUAUUUCUCCCAAAACUUUUUUAGGUACUUCUGGUUCUGGGUUCUGAUUGAACGAUACGUUUUUUUUAAUGUACAUCAGUGUUCUUUGCUUCGCUUGACCUCGACCCGUCCUUUGAGUUCAUUGGCGUUGACGUUUCAAAGUGAAAAAUGGAUUGCCGCCUUCCAGCGCGUCGAUGCUAUGCUCCAUACGUCGAUGGCUACGACUAUGACCGCCUCUUCACUUGUCGGUGCCGCUACCGCAUGCUCCGCUUUAUGUCGGCAUUCCAGGAGCAAUUUCUUGAGUUCUUGAUAGGCAGGGAACACCGCCUCCUCCGCUGGGUGAAGAUAAUCUCGAACUUCUCCAUUGUACGCACCAAUAGCCUGUUUAUUUUCCCAUUCCGAAUUUACGCAUAUUCUUAUUUCAUGGUGUUGAGCAAUGCUCUCUGUCUGUCUGACGAAAUUGCAAACUUGAAAAGACUACAAUACUGCUAAAAGGAAUUUCGUCAGGGCCUACAACCUUCUGGUCCAUUGAAUUUGUAAUAUCUAUGGCUGAACUGAACCUAGGAGAUCGCCAACUCCAAGGUGCAACUGAAACAAAAUACCCCGCUCUAGGGUUUGUUAUUUGUGGCCAUAUGAUCGUCCACCGAUAAAUUCAACCAAUAUGCAGUAACACCGGUUGAUGAUGUGGUCGAUGUCCGAGUGGGUUGAUCGCAAGCUGAAUCAUAUGAGAUUAAAUUUUGGUUUGUCAAGGUGCUGUGUUUAUUGCAAGGCAAUCUUGAUUAUUGUGGCCCUUUGCUAUGACCUCCUCUUAACCUUCCGAUGCUGCCGCAUGCUUAGCUCGCUGCCAUUCCAGGGAUUUAUGGUUUUCUCUGCAAGCUAUACUAUAGAGAUUGUGUGUGGUGAAUCUUUCUUUGCUGAGAAGGAGAAGCUGCAAACUGUGGAGGCAAAUAUACUCACCAAACGAGCUGAUCUGUCUAAAUUUGAGGUAGAGCAUCGGGAAGUUUUGCAUCCGCCAAGCUCGCAUACCAGGAGCUCCCGGACUGGAUCUUGACGAAAUGCUGCCAAAGACGUCACCCGCAGACAUGCGAAGACAACGCCCACGGCCUCGCCGUCUGUGACGGUAGCCAUGACUUGCGCCUUUGCUCGCUCUCCCUCUCCGACGGUGACUCGUCUGUGGCCGCCAAACCCGCCUCUGACCCCAACUUCCCCAAAAUCAGUAAGCACAACAGGCCACCUCGGAGCUUGUUCAACACCAAUGUGUUUUCUUCGUCCAUGCCGCGCCGUCGUGUCUGUGUUCUACAUAUUAUCUGCAUGGUAUAUAAUUUUGUCCUCCAAGAUGAGUUAAAGGUUGAUGCACGCCGGCUCUCUUUGCCAUGGUGACGUGUCUAGCAUCCACAUCGACGGCUACGACUAUGACCGCCUCUUCACUUGUCAGUGCCGUUACCUCAUGCUCCGCUUUAUGUCGGCAUUCCAGGAGCAAUUUCUUGAGUUCUUGAUAGGCAGGGAACACCGCCUCCUCCGCUGGGUGAAGAUAAUCUCAAACUUCUCCAUUGCGUUGGUUAAGAAAAAGCCUCAAUGAUCCGCAGAUGCUGAAAUUAGUCAUGUGAAAUAGUACUUUAUGUAUGUGCGUGAUUUUAAAAUACAAACGGUAGAUGCAUCUCUUUUGAGAACUUCACUACAGGCUAUUGGAGUCUCCUGCUGCUUCAUGGAUUAAAUAAAUAGUUAGUUACCAUAUUUCCAUUGCAGCCAUUUUGGCUUACAUGGGGAGGAACACCUCUUACAAGUGUAAGCUAACCUAUGAAUAUAUAUGACAAGAAAUUCACGAUGAUUAUACUCAA